rnacentral:tRNA from 4 species
GGGGCUGUAGCUCAGUUGGUCAGAGCACCUGCUUUGCAAGCAGGGGGUCAAGGGUUCGACUCCCUUCAGCUCCACCA